UGCGCGGGAGGGGGGGAAGGGAAGGAAGAAACCACCCAGCAACGAGCGCCCGAGGUUGCUUUCCCCACCCGCUGGUGGCUGGUCGAGGCCACAGGAACUGCUUCCGGGAGUGAUGUGGAAGGUUGGAAGGUUGACUUAAAGAGAGGAGUAGCAAAGUGCAAUGGUAUUCGGGAUUACUGUGUUUUAGUAGGACCCUGAAGUCUGAGGUGCAAUUGCUCGGUUUGCAAGAACAUUUUGGAAUAUGUGGGAUGUAAUCUGAAGCAGGCUUGAGGAUCAGUCUGGAUUUCUUCCUUACCCUUUCCUAUCUUACUUGGCUAAGCUAGUGUUUACAUAAUACAAUAGGUGUUGUAUAUUUUCUUCAAGACCAUCUCCACCCUUCUCUAC